CAACCUUGUCCCCAUCCAAUGCUAUUCUGCAAAAGGAAAGCUCUGCUCUGGUCUAUGUUCAGAUGGCUUCUGCUGCCAUCUGGAUGCUCUGCAUAAGUACACGUAGAGUAAUGAGUUUGCUAGCAGAAUUCUAACUACUUAAGCAUUUACUCUGUUACGCUACCAAAAUUCAUCCAGCUGAAGUCAAUGAGACUGCACUGUAUGGGGGUUACUUGGUUUAUUGCUAUGGAUCAUGUCAAAUCCAAGUCCUUGAAUGUGUACACAACCAACAUAUGGUCCAUUCUGUUUAGAUUCAGACCUGAUGUUGCUAAUGCAGGAUACCUACUUCUAACUGUAUUCCUCUUAUUUUAUUUGCAUCUCCACUAGGUUACAGAGAGACCGUAAUGGCAGUUAGUUAGUCCGUACCUCACUUGUACAGAUGUUAGAAUAACAAAUAAGCUUCUCUGUGCUUCUCUACAGAUCUGAAGUAUGUCCCCACCUACUGUCCAUAUUUGCAUUAAAACACAGUAACCUGUAUCACUCGUUGCAUUCUCCCCAAGGUACAACACUAGGAACCAAUACCAAAGCAUCCAUGAUAACCAAAACCAAGUACUGCAAACACUUCUAAAACCCAUUCUGAGUUAAUUUUAAAUGCCUGGCGGUGGUUGAAGAGUGGAAAGGCCUAAAUUCAUUUGAAUUUCCUUCAUGGAAUUCGGGAGUAAGGACAGAAGUUGAGUCCCCAAACAAGCAACACCUGGUUGUUGCUUUUAAUAAGAAAAGUGAAAGUGGAGUGUCUUCUGUAUUAAAAUUAUCACAGGAUGUUUCCCAAUAUAAAAAUCUAUGUGCAGCCUAUGUACAGUAUUCCCACACACUGCUCUGACUGGCAAUACUUGAAGCCAAUGCUGUGAUUACAGCUCUUGCGUUCACUGAAGACAGGUUUACAAUGAGCACGCUCAGGAAGAAGUCUGGGGUCCAGGAGCAUUUGAGCUGAGUCUUGACAUCACUGAAGGCGCACUGCUGUUCUGCAGGAGAGGUGGCUGUGAGAUACCAGCCAGGUACAGGCACUGGUGGCAGGCUGUGAUUCACCUGUGAAAUCACCUGUAACUACCGCAGGUUGGGUUGCCAUUUCCUCCUCGCAGUGGCUGCAAGGGGGACGCUGCCAGCAAGGUGCUGGCUGCUGUGUCGCAGUGCAACCCUCCAGCACUCCGUGCCACCUGAGCCAUGUGCCAGGGACUGAACAUGCACCUGCAGUUGGCUGCUCUGAGAGAGGCCUGAGCUGGCGAUCCUGUGGCCAUAGCGUAAUGCGAGGCAGUAAGCUGC
ensembl:lncRNA